UACGUAGGUGGCAAGCGUUGUCCGGAUUUAUUGGGUUUAAAGGGUGCGUAGGCGGUCAUAUAAGUCAGUGGUGAAAUACGGCAGCUCAACUGUCGAGGUGCCAUUGAUACUGUGUGACUUGAGUACUGAUGAGGUAGGCGGAAUGGACGGUGUAGCGGUGAAAUGCGUAGAUAUCUGGAGGAACACCGGUGGCGAAGGCGCGAUUCUGGCCCGUUACUGACGCUGAGGCGCGAAAGCCAGGGGAGCAAACGGG
rnacentral:rRNA from 1 species